rnacentral:sRNA from 1 species
CAACCUCUCCAUUGACCAGGUUGGCGUGCCCCGCUCCAUUGCUGCCAACAUGACCUUUGCGGAGAUUGUCACCCCCUUCAACAUUGACAGACUUCAAGAACUGGUGCGCAGGGGGAACAGCCAGUACCCAGGCGCCAAGUACAUCAUCCGAGACAAUGGUGAUCGCAUUGACUUGCGUUUCCACCCCAAGCCCAGUGACCUUCACUUGCAGACCGGCUAUAAGGCAUGUAGCAGGCCAGGGCCUCUCUCAGCCACCUGAGCAGAAAGCUUUCCAAGAUAGGGCAGGCUGGGAUAGGCCAUCUGUGUCUGUCUCGUUCACUGGGAUCCAGACUUGACUGUCUUGUUAAAGGCUAUUGCUGCCCAGGUGUGCAGGGAGCUGCUGGCCUCUGGCAUUCAGGGUGGGGGUGCUAUAAACCCGGGGCAGCUUGCAUAUGGCAGGGAAGAGGGAUCUGUGGAGGAACAGUGCAGAAGGCUUGAUGGUCAGAAUCUCUCUUGCUUUUCUUCCUAGACUGAGUUCCUCGAGAUUGGGGAU